rnacentral:rRNA from 1 species
UACGGAGGGGACUAGCGUUGUUCGGAAUUACUGGGCGUAAAGGGCUCGUAGGCGGCCAACUAAGUCCGACGUGAAAUCCCCAGCUUAACCUGGGAACUGCGUCGGAUACUGGAUGGCUUGAAUUCGGGAGAGGGAUGCAGAAUUCCAGGUGUAGCGGUGAAAUGCGUAGAUAUCUGGAGGAAUACCGGUGGCGAAGGCGGCAUCCUGGACCGACAUUGACGCUGAUGAGCGAAAGCUAGGGGAGCAAACGGG